CGGUAGCUCAGCUGGCAGAGCAACGGACUUUUAAUCCGUAGGUCGUGGGUUCGAGACCCACCCG
rnacentral:tRNA from 1 species